UACGAAGGGGGCUAGCGUUGCUCGGAAUCACUGGGCGUAAAGGGCGCGUAGGCGGCGCGGGAAGUCAUCGGUGAAAGUUCAGGGCUCAACUCUGAAUCGGCCGGUGAUACUCUCGUGCUCGAGCACUGUAGAGGCAGGUGGAAUUCCGGGUGUAGCGGUGGAAUGCGUAGAGAUCCGGAAGAACACCGGUGGCGAAGGCGGCCUGCUGGGCAGUAGCUGACACUGAGGCGCGACAGCGUGGGGAGCAAACAGG
rnacentral:rRNA from 1 species